GACGAACGCUGGCGGCGUGCCUAAUACAUGCAAGUCGAGCGGACCUCUUCGGAGGUCAGCGGCGGACGGGUGAGUAACACGUGGGCAACCUGCCUGUAAGACUGGGAUAACACCGGGAAACCGGUGCUAAUACCGGAUAAUCCUUUUCCUCACAUGAGGGGAAGCUGAAAGACGGUUUCGGCUGUCACUUACAGAUGGGCCCGCGGCGCAUUAGCUAGUUGGUGGGGUAACGGCCCACCAAGGCGACGAUGCGUAGCCGACCUGAGAGGGUGAUCGGCCAAACUGGGACUGGGACACGGCCCAGACUCCUACGGGAGGCAGCAGUAGGGAAUCUUCCGCAAUGGACGAAAGGCUGACGGAGCAACGCCGCGUGAGCGAAGAAGGCCUUCGGGUCGUAAAGCUCUGUUGUCAGGGAAGAACACGUACCGGAGUAACUGCCGGUACCUUGACGGUACCUGACCAGAAAGCCACGGCUAACUACGUGCCAGCCGCCGCGGUAAAAC
rnacentral:rRNA from 1 species